rnacentral:rRNA from 1 species
ACAUGCAAGUCGAGCGGAGUGAUGGUGCUUGCACUAUCACUUCGCGGCGCGACGGGUGAGUCAUGCUUAUGUAUCUGCCUAUUAGUGGGGGACUACAUUUCAAAAGGAAAGCUAAUACCGCAUACAUUCCUACUGGAGAACAGCAAGGGAUCUUCCGACCUUGGGCUAAUACAUGACCCUAACUCGGAUUAACUCGUUGGUGGGGUAAACGCCUACCAAGGCGACGAUCUGAAGGGGGUCUGAAAGAAGAUCCGCCACGCUGUCCCGAACAAGGAUCACACACUACUGCGGGAGGCAUAAGUGGGGAAUAUUGGACAAUGGGCGCAAGCCUGAUCCAGCCAUGCCGCGAGUGUGAAGAAGGCCUUAUGGUUGUAAAGCACUUUAAGCGAGGAGGAGGCUACUGAAGUUAAUACCUUCAGAUAGUGGACGUUACUCGCACAAUAAGCACCGGCUAACUCUGUGCCAGCAGCCGCGGUAAUACAGAGGGUGCAAGCGUUAAUCGGAUUUACUGGGCGUAAAGCGCGCGUAGGCGGCUAAUUAAGUCAAAUGUGAAAUCCCCGAGCUUAACUUGGGAAUUGCAUUCGAUACUGGUUAGCUAGAGUGUGGGAGAGGAUGGUAGAAUUCCAGGUGUAGCGGUGAAAUGCGUAGAGAUCUGGAGGAAUACCGAUGGCGAAGGCAGCCAUCUGGCCUAACACUGACGUUGAGGUGCGAUAGCAUGGGGAGCAAACAGGAUUAGAUACCCUGGUAGUCCAUGCCGUAAACGAUGUCUACUAGCCGUUGGGGCCUUUGAGGCUUUAGUGGCGCAGCUAACGCGAUAAGUAGACCGCCUGGGGAGUACGGUCGCAAGACUAAAACUCAAAUGAAUUGACGGGGGCCCGCACAAGCGGUGGAGCAUGUGGUUUAAUUCGAUGCAACGCGAAGAACCUUACCUGGCCUUGACAUAGUAAGAACUUUCCAGAGAUGGAUUGGUGCCUUCGGGAACUUACAUACAGGUGCUGCAUGGCUGUCGUCAGCUCGUGUCGUGAGAUGUUGGGUUAAGUCCCGCAACGAGCGCAACCCUUUUCCUUAUUUGCCAGCGAGUAAUGUCGGGAACUUUAAGGAUACUGCCAGUGACAAACUGGAGGAAGGCGGGGACGACGUCAAGUCAUCAUGGCCCUUACGGCCAGGGCUACACACGUGCUACAAUGGUCGGUACAAAGGGUUGCUACCUAGCGAUAGGAUGCUAAUCUCAAAAAGCCGAUCGUAGUCCGGAUUGGAGUCUGCAACUCGACUCCAUGAAGUCGGAAUCGCUAGUAAUCGAGGAUCAGAAUGCCGC